rnacentral:misc_RNA from 1 species
GAUGAAGAACGUAGCGAAAUGCGAUAAGUAAUGUGAAUUGCAGAAUUCAGUGAAUCAUCGAAUCUUUGAACGCACAUUGCGCCCCCUGGUAUUCCGGGGGGCAUGCCUGUUCGAGCGUCAUUUCACCACUCAAGCCUCGCUUGGUAUUGGGCAACGCGGUCCGCCGCGUGCCUCAAAUCGACCGGCUGGGUCUUCUGUCCCCUAAGCGUUGUGGAAACUAUUCGCUAAAGGGUGUUCGGGAGGCUACGCCGUAAAACAACCCCAUUUCUAAGGUUGACCUCGGAUAAGGUAGGGAUACCCGCUGAACUUAAGCAUAUCAAUAAGCGGAGGA